rnacentral:tRNA from 1 species
GAGGGUAUAGCUCAAGUGGUAGAGCACAUGCCUUGUAUGUAUGAGGUCCUGGGUUCAAUUUCCAGCACCUCCU